CUAGACAGGAAAGGAUGAACCUGCAGAAGAAAAAGAAAAGGCAAACAGCCAAAGAGGUAAGAAGAAACCAGCAGAAUGCCCUGACAUGGAAGCCAACAGAAAAGAGUAUUUCAAGAAACAAGACAAGUUCUCACUCUGUUGUCUAUCCUGGAGUGCAGUGGCAUGAUCAUAGACAGCUCACUAUAGCCUCGAACUCCGAGACUCAAGGAAUCCUCCCACCUUGGCCUCCCAAGUAACUAGGACUACAGGCACCAUACCUGGCUAAUUUUAUUUUAAUUUUUGCAGAGACAAGGUCUUGCUUAUGUUGCCCAGGCUGGUCUUGAACUCCUGGGCUCAAGUGAUCCUCUCACUUCACCUCCUAAAGUGUUGGGAUUACAGGUGUGAGUCACUGAGCCUAGUCUAAUAUUCUCUUACUGACCUGAAAGUAUUCUUUAAAUAUUA
rnacentral:lncRNA from 1 species